GACGAACGCUGGCGGCGUGCUUAACACAUGCAAGUCGAACGGAAAGGCCCUGCUUUUGUGGGGUGCUCGAGUGGCGAACGGGUGAGUAACACGUGAGUAACCUGCCCUUGACUUUGGGAUAACUUCAGGAAACUGGGGCUAAUACCGGAUAGGAGCUCCUGCUUCAUGGUGGGGGUUGGAUAGUUUCGGCGGUUGGGUAUGGACUCGCGGCUUAUCAGCUUGUUGGUGGGGUAGUGGCUUACCAAGGCUUUGACGGGUAGCCGGCCUGAGAGGGUGAACGGCCAAAAUGGGACUGAGAUAAGGCCCAGACUCCAACGGGAGGCAGGAGUGGGGAAUAUUGCACAAUGGGCGGAAGCAUGAUGCAGCAAAGCCGCGUGCGGGAUGACGGCCUUCGGGUUGUAAACCGAUUUCGCCUGUGACGAAGCGUGAGUGACGGUAAUGGGUAAAGAAGCACCGGCUAACUACGUG
rnacentral:rRNA from 1 species